rnacentral:rRNA from 1 species
UACAGAGGAUGCAAGCGUUAUCCGGAAUGAUUGGGCGUAAAGCGUCUGUAGGCGGCUUUUUAAGUCCGCUGUCAAAUCCCAGGGCUCAACUCUGGACAGGCGGUGGAAACUACCAAGCUGGAGUACGGUAGGGGCAGAGGGAAUUUCCGGUGGAGCGGUGAAAUGCGUAGAGAUCGGAAAGAACACCAGCGGCGAAAGCGCUCUGCUGGGCCGGCACUGACGCUGAGAGACGAAAGCUAGGGGAGCGAAUGGG